GCGGCUAGACGGAAAGACCCCGUGAACCUUUACUACAGCUUGGCACUGAACAUUGAACCUACAUGUGUAGGAUAGGUGGGAGGCUUUGAAGCACAGUCGCUAGAUUGUGUGGAGCCGUCCUUGAAAUACCACCCUUGUAUGUUUGAUGUUCUAACAUUGACCCCUUAUCGGGGUUGUGGACAGUGUCUGGUGGGUAGUUUGACUGGGGCGGUCUCCUCCCAAAUAGUAACGGAGGAGCACGAAGGUUAGCUAAUCACGGUCGGACAUCGUGAGGUUAGUGCAAUGGCAUAAGCUAGCUUAACUGCGAGACAGACACGUCGAGCAGGUACGAAAGUAGGUCAUAGUGAUCCGGUGGUUCUGUAUGGAAGGGCCAUCGCUCAACGGAUAAAAGGUACUCCGGGGAUAACAGGCUGAUACCGCCCAAGAGUUCACAUCGACGGCGGUGUUUGGCACCUCGAUGUCGGCUCAUCACAUCCUGGGGCUGAAGCCGGUCCCAAGGGUAUGGCUGUUCGCCAUUUAAAGUGGUACGCGAGCUGGGUUUAGAACGUCGUGAGACAGUUCGGUCCCUAUCUGCCGUGGACGUUGGAGAUUUGAGGAAAGCUGCUCCUAGUACGAGAGGACCGGAGUGGACGAACCUCUGGUGUUCGGGUUGUGACGCCAGUCGCAUUGCCCGGUAGCUAUGUUCGGACAGGAUAACCGCUGAAAGCAUCUAAGCGGGAAGCCCCUUCCAAGAUGAGAUCUCCCCGGGCCCUCGAGGCCCCUGAAGAGCCGUUCAAGACCAGGACGUUGAUAGGUCGGG
rnacentral:rRNA from 12 species